UACGGAGGGUGCAAGCGUUAUCCGGAUUCACUGGGUUUAAAGGGUGUGUAGGCGGGCUUUUAAGUCAGCGGUGAAAUCUCCGGGCUCAACCCGGAAACUGCCAUUGAUACUAUUAGUCUUGAAUAUCGUUGAGGUUGGCGGAAUAUAUCAUGUAGCGGUGAAAUGCAUAGAUAUGAUAUAGAACACCGAUUGCGAAGGCAGCUAACUAAGCGAUGAUUGACGCUGAGGCACGAAAGCGUGGGGAUCAAACAGG
rnacentral:rRNA from 2 species